rnacentral:rRNA from 1 species
AAUUACUUACAGCCAUUUAUUUUUCAGAUAAAUAGCUUCUUAACCCCAAUUUCCAUUUUUUUAGACCUCAAAUCAGGUGGGACUACCCGCUGAACUUAA